CUACUAGGGUAUCUAAUCCUGUUCGCUCCCCACGCUUUCGCUCCUCAGCGUCAGUAAUGGCCCAGAGACCCGCCUUCGCCACCGGUGUUCCUCCUGAUAUCUGCGCAUUCCACCGCUACACCAGGAAUUCCAGUCUCCCCUGCCAUACUCCAGCCUGCCCGUACCGGAAGCAGACCCACCGUUAAGCAGUGGGCUUUCACUUCCGACGCGACAGGCCGCCUACGAGCCCUUUACGCCCAAUAAAUCCGGACAACGCUCGCACCCUACGUAUUACCGCGGCUGCUGGCAC
rnacentral:rRNA from 1 species